rnacentral:rRNA from 1 species
UACGUAGGGUGCGAGCGUUGUCCGGAAUUCUUGGGCGUAAAGGGCUCGUCGGCGGUUUGUCGCGUCGGGAGUGAAAACCCAGGGCUUAACUCUGGGCUUGCUUUCGAUACGGGCAGACUAGAGGCAUGCAGGGGAGAACGGAAUUCCUGGUGUAGCGGUGAAAUGCGCAGAUAUCAGGAGGAACACCGGUGGCGAAGGCGGUUCUCUGGGCAUGUCCUGACGCUGAGGAGCGAAAGUGUGGGGAGCGAACAGG